rnacentral:rRNA from 1 species
CGUAUAUUAAAGUUGUUGCAGUUAAAAAGCUCGUAGUUGGAUUUGUGGUGUUUGGCUGAGUCCCAGCAUUGUCUGGGGUCUCGUGUCGAAUGCCGUCCUUGGGUGGAAGCAGUGUGGCAUUAGGUUGUCGUGCUGUGGAUGCCCAUCGUUUACUGUGAAAAAAUCAGCGCGUUCAAAGCAGGCUUAUGCCGUUGAAUGUAUUAGCAUGGAAUAAUAAGAUAGGACCUUGGUACUAUUUUGUUGGUUUGCGCACCGAGGUAAUGAUUAAUAGGGACAGUUGGGGG